rnacentral:tRNA from 1 species
CUUAACAUAGUUUAAACUAAAACAUUAUCCUUUCAAGGUAAAAUUUCUAUAUUUGAUGUUAAGA